AGGGGGAUGUGGGUGUGAACGGCAGGAGUUUCUGUGAAAGUUUGGAAAUCGAUGUGUUUUUGGGAAAUACUCCACAUCUGCACAAGGUGGCAGUAGAAGCACACUGCAUCAGGCCCAUUUUCGGCCUUUUGUUUUUUUUUUGUAAAUCUGCAUAUAACCAUGAAUGAAAGUGAGUGUGGAAUAAAUGCAUAUUCGAAACAAAGCAUGCCCCCCAUUCACAAACACUGUGAUAGUACACCUGCAGGGAGGAAAACAGAGCAGGCAGGCUGCAGGGCUUCAUGGAGCUGCAGGCCUUUUAUGUGGCCGUUUGUCCUGUUUAUGUGCUCCUGCCUCUCCUCUCCUCUCUUCUCCGCGCUCUGCAUUGAUGGCAGCAUGCCUGUAAUUGAUGGCACCUUAUUGCUGUGGUGUAGCAGGUUUAAUGGGGCUUGACAGAGCAAGGGAAAGCAGCAUGCAACCAAGGGAGGGAACUUAACCCUUUCACACUUGCUUCAUACGCUGUCCUCUCCUUGUUUUCUUUUUUUUUUUCUAAAUUCAAAAUCUCUCCCCCUGCAGGGCAUGCAAACACAAACGAGAAUACAAACAGACCCUCUGUGAUUAGCUCAAUUCCUACUGUUAUCAGUGGUGUUGCUAAUGGUGGCUUGGUUCAUGAUCAGGAGAAAGCUCAGACACCCCUCCGACUCCACUUCCUAAAAUAAACACUCACCAGCUGUUGGAGCUUGCUGCUGUUUUGCUUGGAGGGAACCUAAAUGUGUUUGACAAAGCUAAACAGCUGGGAAUUUAUUCCUUCAAACCUGCAGCCAGUUCCUGAUACGACCUUUAGGGGCCACUGUGGGUCCAGGCUGCAAAAGUAGACUUUCUAUAGGCGUCUAUUUCUGUGAUGUUUUAGGUGUGUUUAAUUCAUUAUGAGGAUAUUUCAUAGUUAAUGCAGACUCUUCCAUUGCAGAGGUGUUGUAAACCUUCACUCAUGAGGCUUAUAUGUACCAUGAAUUCAAACGAGGCUCUUUUCGUUAAAUCAUACAUGACUGCAGUUGAAAUCACUGCAUGACUUCAAAAUCAUUGUCUCUGAUCACAGUUUUUCACACGAGUUAAAACUGUACCAUGCAAAUAUUGUCCUGGGCCUAAGACAGACUGAGACAAAGAGGAGAAAUAAAAACCUGACCUCCUUUUCGGAAAUCACGGACGGUACAUCCUCCACUUUAUAAGAUAAUCACUUACUGACUGCUGGUUUGCUUUGAGGGAACUUUAAUAUGUGUUGAAGUUAAACAGCUGGAAAUGUGUCCUCCAAACCUGCAGCCAAACUGCAGCUCUUGAUGUGACUUUUGGUCGUGCUCUAGGUCAGAUCUGUACGGUGACCCUGAGGUACAAAACACAACGGUAAAUCAGAAAACACAACAACAUUAACCAUUGUGUUUUCUCUCUUUGUGUUGUGUUUUCUAAUUUGCCAUUGUCUUUUGCACCUCAGGGCCACGGUAGAUCUGUGAUCUUGGAUCUUUGGCAUCAACCUCUGUGCUUUCUCAGAUGUUUUAUUUAAUGCUAUAAGGGAAUAUCAUAGAGUGAAGACUAUUUCAUGAAAAUGGCGACGCUGUUCUCCCUUCAUGUAGAUAUGGCUGCGUUUGAAAAUAGUGUUUCACUUCCCUCAUGUGGAUAUGCAUGGCAAUCACACACUAUAAGCACCAUUAACCGAGUGAGAUGAUGAAAUGAUGUGAUGUUGUGUGCGCAUUUUUUUUGGAUAUGAUGACUCUGAAGUGGAAAUCACAGCUUUGCCUCAAACUCAUACCUAAAAAUCAAUGUUUUCCACAAAUGUAGGUCGAAUCUCCAUCAUGGAAAUCAAAAAUCAAAGCGAAGUAAAAUCCAGAAAUGUAGAAAUUAUCUUUUUGGAGAUCAUGGAUACUAUUGUUUAUUUACCAGAUGAGCCUGUACCAUUAAAAAAACAUACGGAUCAUGCCAUUAUCCCAAAACAUCUCAAGCCCACUUAAAAAGGACUUUAUCUGACGAAUCGAAUUAACUCUCUUUUUGGAAACCAUGGACACCAGCUGUUAGAGCUUGAUGCUGUUUUGCUUGGAGGGAACCUAAAUGUGUUUGACAAAGCUAAACAGCUGGGAAUUUAUCCCUUCAAACCUGCAGCCAGACCGCAGUUCCUGAUACGACCUUUAGGGGCCACUGUGGGUCCAAGCUGCAAAAGUGGACCAUAGGUCUUCCAUAGGCAUCCACUCCUGCGUUUCUGGGAUGUGUUUAUUUUGUUAUGAGGGAAUUUCAUAGCAAGUGCGGACUCCUCCAUUAAAGAGGCGGCGUUAUCCUUCACUCAUGUGGAUGUGUGUGCGCAUGUACGCUCUGCACGCACCAUUAAUCAAUAGAGACGAUGAAAUGAUGCCAUUGUGUGCGAGGCAAGGCACGGCACGUUGAAUAAUGAGCUAGUCAAAGCUGUUGGCAAAUCAUUAAUGCAAGGUGUGGGUCUAAACCAAGUUCUCACACUCUCUCCCUACAAGCUGUUCCCAGGUGACAAAAAACUGGGGAGAGACACUAUUUUAGGAGCUGAUAUCACACCUCUCUUUCUCUCUCUCUCUUUUUUUUUCUAAAAGCCACACUUCUAUUCCCCGCUGAAUGUGUGUCUCUGCGAGAGCACUCGGGUGGAGGAAUAUCAUCCUGUUUUCUUUCUUUCUCUCUCUCGGGUAUUAUCCUCUCCUCUGAACUCUCGGUCCACAUUUCUCUCUAAAUUUAUAGGCCACUUUCCCUCACUUGUUGUCCUCCCUCCUCUAACCUCUCUCCCUCUCCAUCAUCACACCCUCCCUCCUCCUUCUCCUCCUCACCUCUCCUCCCCCUGCCAUCACCCUCCUUGCCAGGGCUGGCUGCAGAUUGGCUAUUUCCUGCACGCGCUCAGUAGAGCCCUUAUCAGAGGUAGAGUGCUGAUUGUUGGUCUGUCUCUCAGGCUGACUGACAGUUGGGGCUGCGCUGCUGAAAUGCCUGAUUUGGUCAAUGUUUGUCUGUGGGGCCUUAUCUCCCCACCUUAUAUUAACUGCCUUGACAGUAUGUGCAGGCAGUCUCUCUCCAUCUUGUUGCUCCCCCCCUCCUCCUCCUCCCUCCUCCCUCCUCACCCUUCCCUCCUCCCUCCCUCCAUCCUCUGUCUCUAUCUCCAUUCACUUUGUACUCUCUGCUACGCUCCACAGUCUUUCAACCAGCAGCUAAACACUCCUCCUCCUCCUCCUC